GGGGAUUCUAGCUCUUUUAAGCUAGUUUACGUUUUUGUUGUUGUUGUAUUGGAUUUUAAUGACAUAGGGACGAUGUCUUAGAUAUUUGAACAUCGUUUUUAACUUAAGCUAGCGCCACACUUUAAAAAAUCUGCUCGUUUGUCGUCUGGGUUUGUAACGUAUCGUCUUGUGUCUUUACCGGGCGGGCGGACACGUCUCCGGUCGGCCAGGCUAGAGAAGCGCGUAGGUGAUCGAACCAGCUAGUCAUGGCUCUGGACGGAUGUGGGCUCGUCUGCAAAUUCUUCCUCGUCCUCUUCAACGUGAUCUUCGCGUUGGUGGGACUGGCGUUUCUGAGUCUUGGCUUGUGGCUGAGAUUCAGUGAGAACACCAGACCGAUCUUCAACAUCGAGGAACUCAACUCCAGUACCUUUGUCAUAGCUGUGACCGUACUGAUUGUUCUUGGGACCAUAAUGCUGAUUGUGGUGACGUUUGGAGACUACGGAGCCUGCAGCGAGAAAAGAGGUGCUCUGCAAGUGUUCUCGUGCCUUGUUGCUCUUCUGGCUGGAGCGGAAAUAUGUGUCGGCGUGCUCGCUUACAGCUAUCGAGAAGAGGUUGGUGUGAGAUUGGGAGAGCUGUACACCAACAUAUAUACUAUAUAUGCAGCCACCGGAGACGCAGCCUUAGCCGUGACGCUCCUGUUCAUCCACAACUGGCUCCACUGCUGCGGCGUGACUGGAAUCAAGCUAAUCGAGACUGUGAAGGACACCUGUCCCAGUCCACAGGGCUUCCUGGAGCACAUCGCUAUGCCUAGUUGUCCAGUGACCAUCAUGGGCAUCUUCAAGAGUAAAGCGUUCGUGAUGCUGUGCAUCUUUAUUGGAACUGGAGCUCUUCUGCUGGUGGCUCUGAUUUGCAGUGUGGUGCUCGGUUGUCAGCUCCGACAGUCCACCUCAUCUCCUCAGUACAUUGUGCUGACUCAGAGCACUCCUGCCAUGGUUACCCCUGAGCCAAAUCCUCAGAUCAUCUCGAGCUCGCUGCACGAUCAGGACCCCGUGGUCAUCACGCCCCUUUCAGUGGUCACCAUCCCCGUGCCUCAGGCUUGAGAAUGCUUGUCAGUUUUUGUGCUCUGACGCAGCCCGUUGUUUCCUUCUCCCAGCAUGAUAACUGCCCUCAUCUGCUCCAUCGUUCUCCUGCAACAGCUCAAGAAAGUCAAUCAGGCCAUCAACUCCUAUUAUUCUGCUGUGUACUAAAGGAGAGGAGACGGGGUUUUCAACCCCCACCCUCCUCCACUUCAUCAAAAACCAUAGCUGAAAACCCAACCAGCAGAUCAGUGUUCAUGGAUGAUUCGUUGUAUCUGAGCUUCUGCUCUCCAUUCCCAGAUUAUUAGUCUACAACGUGUUUGUUGCACAACAAAUCCUAACAGGCUUAGGAAUAAAAAUGACUGAGUACGUACUUAAAUCUGAAUAAACACACCCAAACGCUUGUUUACCCACAGUCAGCUCGACAUUUUAGUCAUUUCAUCAUCUGCUGUUUUGUAGCAUGUAUGGUUUUAGAUGACGUUUUUGUUUUUUUAGGGAAAACACUGAGCCGCUAGCGUUUACGGAGAACUUAUUGUAAAAGAAAAAGGGAUCAUGAUUGUAGAAAUGCAACAUUUUUUGUAUUUAGGUCAGAUAUUAACACGGUAGCCUCCGGUGCCUUGUUCACCUUCGCUGUGCCCUGUUCAUUUAGCAAAAACUGUAUUCCAUUUCAUUUCUGCCUGAAUCAUGCAGAGAAUAUAGUCGAUGACUUUAAAAUGUGAAAUAAGAUCGUGUUAUUGAAUGCAGGGUAUCCGCGGGCCCUUAAAAAGUCUUAAAUUAGCUUUUCCAAAUUUAAGGCCUUAAAAAUCCUUAAAAAUGACAAAUAAUCCUUAAAUACAGUUUCCAAAGGUCUUAAAUUACCAAAGACCCAAUAAACAAGAUUCAUUUAUUUGUAGAAAAUUUUCGUGAAUUUCUAGUUAGUCUUCAGCGUUUUUUGUGUACGAUAUUGGCGUAAGCGGAACCGUAUACAUUCAGUUGGUUGUGAAAGGGGGCUAUUUUUAGAUGAGCACAUUAGCUGGUUAAGCUAGUGGGAGCUUGCGCCAUGGGGAAGUGUAAGCUUAAUGGUAACUGGAUGGCUAAUCCCACGUUCGCGGCGCGGUUAGCACCGGUUCCAGGCAAUAGCUGGAAAUUAUAGCUUACAUUUAAUUUUAAAAAUAGCUCAAAUUUUUGUCAUCAAAGUGGCCUUAAAAAAGGUCUUAAAACGUCUUAAAUUUGGCUGCCUUACACCUGCAGAUACCCUGUUAAUGUUGUGUGUUUAACAUUCAGAUCUGUUUUUUAAACGUAAAUCAAGGUGUUGCUUUUGUAUAAGGUCCGAAAAAGCUGUAAACCAUUAGUUUUGUGGUAGAACGUUUAAGCUGAAUGCCUUUGAUUGCUUUUGUUUCCGUCCCUUUUUUUAUAGUCCAGACUAUUGCAUCAUACCUUCCUUUUAUAGCAAGAUGAUCAAUGGGUUUGCAACAUUUGUGCACAUUUCAAUAAAACAUAAAACAAUGCA